rnacentral:sRNA from 1 species
UCGAAGUCAAAAAAUGUACUGCCGUGCC